rnacentral:lncRNA from 1 species
CCGGACCUAAUGUUUUAAACUCCUGUAUCUUUUGCUAUACUUAAUCAAAAUUUAUAAUUAAUAUACUAUUUUGAAGCUUAUAAAAAACUCUACGAAUACAUGUAAAUUUUGUUAUCUGAAACCUACUCUACAGAAAAAAAAAUAAUAACAUCAAUUUUUGGAUCAUAUAAAUAUAGUUUCAUUUUUUCUCUUUAUAUCCUCAAUAUUACAAUCUCAAAAUUUUCAAAAUUAUUUCAUGCUAUAUGACGUACAUGUGUGUGAAAAAUCAUAUCACAACAUAUCAUGUACACAAAAUUGCCAUUAUUGAGUGAUCAAACCCCUAUAUGACAAAAAUACAUAAAAUAACUUUCCAAAAAUUUUAACUAUGGCAUAAUCAGUAACUAGAGCAGAAAAAAAACAACAAUGCAUAACUCUGAUACCAUUUGAAGAACAAAAUUUAAUAUAAAAUUUAUAAUUAAGUAUGUACUUACAAGUACUUUUCAAAAAAAUAUCCUAAGAAUUGAUGUUGGAUCACUAGCUGCUAGUCCAGAGUAUAAUCGUGGGAAAAAUACACCUUGAUUCACAACCUAAAUGCCUUUAUAUGGAUAAAUGUAGAAAGGGUGAUAAAGAGUCUAGAGCCGAAAGAGAGUGAAGUUCUCUCUUCUCUUUUUUUAACUGUCAUGAAAAAUUUUUCAUAUAUCCAGAAUGGAUGAUGUUCUCACAUUUAUAAAACUAAAAAGUAGUUUCUUAUUUUUUGAUGGGAGACCAACUCCCUCACAAUUCAAAUUCAAACGAAUCAGGUUGACCUAUCAUAGGUGCCCAACCCGGAUCCAUAAACACCAACAGAAACUAU